AUCAGGUUUUAAGGAUGACAGAGAUGGGCGAGUGCUACUAUAUAAAGAGAGCACACUUCUCUUACUAGUAGUCUACAGCUGUCUAUUGUCUGCAAUACAUCAUUUUCCUGAAAGCCGUUUUAUAUAUCUGAUCUGAGAGCAAGCAUGUCUGGAAAGGGUGAUACGAAGAAAUCUGCUGAAAAGAAACCUGCUGAAAAAAAACCUGCUGAAAAAAAGGGACAAAAGGACGUGAAGCCAGAGAAAGAGGCAAAAAAAGCUACCCCUGCCAAGAAGGAGAAAAAAUGAUCAAUUUAUUAGAACUUGACUUGACAGAAUUUAUAUCUUUUAAAUUUGCUACAAUUUUGCACCAUGUCAUGUACUCAAAGUUGACAAUUUUUGUUGGAAUCUGAA